CGGAUUGGAGUCUGNAACCCGACUCCAUGAAGCUGGAUUCGCUAGUAAUCGCGCAUCAGCCACGGCGCGGUGAAUACGUUCCCGGGCCUUGUACACACCGCCCGUCAGGCCAUGGAAGCCGGGAGUGCCUGAAGUGCGUGACCGCAAGGAGCGUCCUAAGGCAAUACCGGUGACUGGGGCUAAGUCGUAACAAGGUACC
rnacentral:rRNA from 1 species